rnacentral:ncRNA from 1 species
GUAUAAUAUUUUAAUUAUUUUAAUAAUAAUUAAUUUAUAUUUAUAGUAAUUAAAAUUAAAAAUUUAAGAAAUUAAGAUUUAGUAAUAUAGAAAUUAAUAACUAAUUUUGUGCCAGCAGUUGCGGUUAAACAAAAGUUAAAUUAAAUUAUUUCAGUAUAUAAUUAAUAAUAAAUAAUUAAAAUAAAUAUUAAAUUAUUAGGUAAAAUUUUAAUUUAAUUAAAUUUUAUAUUAAAUUUAUGAUUUAAUAAAUUUUAAUAUAAACUAGGAUUAGAUACCCUAUUAUUAAAAAUUUAACUUAAAAUACUAAAAUAGUAAAUAAAAUAUUAUUGAAACUUAAAUAAUAUGGCGGUAUUUUAGUUUCUUUAGAGGAAUCUGUCUAAUAAUUGAUAAUCCACGAAUAAAUUUACUUAGUUUAAUAUUUUGUAUAUCAUUGUUAAAAAAAUAUUUUUUAAAAAUUAAUAAUAUUUAAAAAUUUAAAAUAAAAAUUAACUCAGAUCAAGAUGCAGAUUAUAAUUAAGAUUAAGAUGGAUUACAAUAAAAUUAUUUAAAUGGAAAAAAAAUUGUAAAAUUUGAUUAAAAGUGGAUUUAAAUGUAAUUUUAAUUAAUUUAUUAAAAUGAUUAAAAGUUAAAAUAUGUACAUAUUGCCCGUCACUUUCAUUUAAAAAUUGAAAUAAGUCGUAACAAAGUAGAGGUACUGGAAAGUGUUUCUAGAAUGAA